AGCGAACGCUGGCGGCAGGCCUAACACAUGCAAGUCGAACGAACCCUUCGGGGUUAGUGGCGGACGGGUGAGUAACACGUGGGAACGUGCCUUUAGGUUCGGAAUAACGCAGGGAAACUUGUGCUAAUACCGAAUGUGCCCUUCGGGGGAAGGAUUUAUCGCCUUUAGAGCGGCCCGCGUCUGAUUAGCUAGUUGGUGCGGUAAUGGCUCACCAAGGCUACGGUCAGUAGCUGGGCUGAGAGGAUGACCAGCCACAUUGGGACUGAGACACGGCGCAAACUCAUACGGGAGGGAGCAGUGGGGAAUCUUGCGCAAUGGGGGAAAGCCUGACGCAGCCGUGCCGCGUGGAAGAUGAAGGUCUUAGGAUUGUAAAAUCCUUUCACCGGUGAAGAUAAUGACUGUAGCCGGAGAAGAAGCCCCGGCUAACUUCGUGCCAGCCGCCGGGGUAACAC
rnacentral:rRNA from 1 species